UAGAGUUUGAUCCUGGCUCAGGACUAACGCUGGCGGCGUGCCUAAUCUAUGCAAGUCUACCCGUCUUCGGACGAGUGGCAGACGAGUGAGUAACGCGUAGGAACCUACCUCUAACUUGGCCAUAACCCACCGAAAGGUGGGAUAAUAGCCAAUAGUCUCUUCGGUUAGUAGCCGAAAGAGUAAAGCUUCGGCGGUUAGAGACGGGCCUGCGUUCUAUCAGCUAGUUGGUGAGGUAAUGGCUUACCAAGGCGAUGACGGAUAGGGGGCGUGAGAGCGUGAUCCCCCACGAUGGCACUGAGACACGGGCCAUACACCUACGGGUGGCAGCAAGUAGGAAUCUUGCGCAAUGCCCUCUCUUGAGGGUGACGCAGCGACGCCGCGUGCAGGAAGAAGCUUUUCGGAGUGUAAACUGACGUCAAAAAGGGACGGCUAACUUCGUGCCAGCAGCAGCGGUAAUACGAGGGUCCCGAGCGUUGUCCGGUAUUAUUGGGCGUAAAGAGUUCUGUAGGCGGCAAAGUAAGUUUCAGGUCAAAACCUCCGGCUCAACCGGAGAUCCGCUUGAAAUACUGCUUUGCUAGAGAAAUGCAGGGGAGGAUGGAAUGCAUGGUGUAGUGGUGGAAUACGUUGAUAUCAUGCAGAACACCGAAGGCGUAGGCAAUCCUCUGGGCAUUUUCUGACGCUGAGAGACGAAAGCGUGGGGAGCAAAACGGAUUAGAUACCCGUGUAGUCCACGCCGUAAACGAUGUCUACUAGGUCCGUGAUGGUGAUUUAUCACCAUUGCGAGCCUCAGUUAACGCAAUAAGUAGACCGCCUGGGAACUACGGCCGCAAGGCUAAAACUCAAAGGAAUAGACGGGGACCCGCACAAGUGGUGGAGCAUGUGGUUUAAUUCGAAGAUACGCGAAGAACCUUACCUGGGCUUGACAUCCCGAGAAUCUCCCAGAGAUGGGGGAGUGCUAGUUUACUAGAGCUCGGUGACAGGUGCUGCACGGCUGUCGUCAGCUCGUGUCGUGAGAUGUUGGGUUAAGUCCCGCAACGAGCGCAACCCUCGUCCUUAGUUGCCAGCGGUUCGGCCGGGCACUCUAAGGAGACUGCCUUCGUAAGGAGGAGGAAGGUGAGGACGACGUCAAGUCAUCAUGGCCCUUAUGUCCAGGGCGACACACGUGCUACAAUGGGGAGGACAAUGAGAGGCGAUACCGCGAGGUGGAGCAAAUCUAUAAACCUUCUCUCAGUUCGGAUUGCAGUCCGCAACUCGACUGCAUGAAGCUGGAAUCACUAGUAAUCGUAGAUCAGCCAUGCUACGGUGAAUACGUUCCCGGGUCUUGUACUCACCGCCCGUCACACCAUGGGAGUUGAGUUCACCCGAAGCCGGAAUGCCAAAGUGGCUACCGUCCACGGUGGGCUCAGCGACUGGGGUGAAGUCGUAACAAGGUAACCA
rnacentral:rRNA from 1 species